rnacentral:rRNA from 1 species
UACAGAGGUCUCAAGCGUUGUUCGGAUUCAUUGGGCGUAAAGGGUGCGUAGGUGGCGCUGUAAGUCAGGUGUGAAAUUUCGGAGCUUAACUCCGAAACUGCAUUUGAUACUGCGGUGCUUGAGGACUGGAGAGGAGACUGGAAUUUACGGUGUAGCAGUGAAAUGCGUAGAUAUCGUAAGGAAGACCAGUGGCGAAGGCGGGUCUCUGGACAGUUCCUGACACUGAGGCACGGAAGGCCCAGGGGGAGCAAAACGGG